AGAGUUUGAUCCUGGCUCAGAAUGAACGCUGGCGGCGUGCUUAACACAUGCAAGUCGAACGAGAACGGGAUUGCUUGCAAUCCUUAGUAGAGUGGCGCACGGGUGAGUAACACGUAGAUAAUCUACCUUCAAGCCUGGGAUAACUAUUCGAAAGGAUAGCUAAUACCGGAUGAAGUAUGUUGGCAUAAGCUGACAUAUGAAAGGUUGCCUCUUCUUGAAAGCAAUUGUUUGGAGAUGAGUCUGCGGACCAUUAGUUUGUUGGUGGGGUAAAGGCCUACCAAGACUACGAUGGUUAGCUGGUCUGAGAGGAUGAUCAGCCACACUGGAACUGACACACGGUCCAGACUCCUACGGGAGGCAGCAGUGAGGAAUUUUGCGCAAUGGGGGAAACCCUGACGCAGCAACGCCGCGUGAGUGAAGAAGGCCCUUGGGUCGUAAAGCUCUGUCGACAGGGAAGAAAUUACUUUGUAUUAAUAGUAUAUUGUAUUGACGGUACCUGUAGAGGAAGCACCGGCUAACUCCGUGCCAGCAGCCGCGGUAAUACGGGGGGUGCAAGCGUUAUUCGGAAUUAUUGGGCGUAAAGGGCGCGUAGGCGGUCUUAUCGGUCAGAUGUGAAAGCCCGGGGCUCAACCCUGGAAGUGCAUUUGAAACAGCAAGACUUGAGUACGGGAGAGGAGAGCGGAAUUCCUGGUGUAGAGGUGAAAUUCGUAGAUAUCAGGAGGAACACCGAUGGCGAAGGCAGCUCUCUGGACCGAUACUGACGCUCAGGCGCGAAGGUGUGGGUAGCGAACAGGAUUAGAUACCCUGGUAGUCCACACAGUAAACGUUGUUCACUCGGUGUAGCGGAUAUUAAAAUCUGCUGUGCCCAAGCUAACGUGGUAAGUGAACCGCCUGGGGAGUACGGUCGCAAGACUAAAACUCAAAGGAAUUGACGGGGGCCCGCACAAGCGGUGGAGCAUGUGGUUUAAUUCGACGCAACGCGAAGAACCUUACCUGGAUUUGACAUCUCGGGAAUCCUAUCGAAAGACUGGAGUGCCCUUCGGGGAACCCGAAGACAGGUGCUGCAUGGCUGUCGUCAGCUCGUGUCGUGAGAUGUUGGGUUGAGUCCCGCAACGAGCGCAACCCUUAUCUUUAGUUGCCAUCAGGUAAUGCUGGGCCCUCUAGAGAGACUGCCGGUGACAAACCGGAGGAAGGUGGGGAUGACGUCAAAUCAUCAUGCCCCUUAUGAUCUGGGCUACACACGUGCUACAAUGGCCGGUACAACGGGCAGCGAAGGAGCGAUCCGGAGCAAAUCCUAAUAAGCCGGUCCCAGUUCGGAUUGUAGGCUGCAACUCGCCUGCAUGAAGUUGGAGUUGCUAGUAAUCGCGAAUCAGAAUGUCGCGGUGAAGGCGUUCCCGGGUCUUGUACGGGAAACAGCUAUGACCA
rnacentral:rRNA from 1 species